GUCAUUUCUUUGUUAAUUCUAUCCAUGCUCUUCUCCAUUAAACAAAAGCAGUUCGUUUGGUGUAUUUAUACUUAAAACACAUUUAUGACUGAGGAUUUCUGCUUUUAAAGUAUGUGAAAAAGAAUUCUUCCCCACCUCUCUUCACAAAUAUAUAUUCUGACACUUUCUUCUGUUGAUUUUAUCUUUCAUUAAUCUAUCUGGAUUCUAUUUUUAUGUGUGAUGUUAUUAAGGGAUACAAUUUUCUUUUCUCCCUAACAUUAUGUACCAGAUUUGAUUUGUGCUGCUGGAUUUCUAUAUUUGUGUGCUUAGUGGCCCAGUCAUGAUUGACUCUUUGUGACCCCAUGGGCUGUAGCCUGCCAGGCUCCUCUGUCCAUGGGGCUUCUCCAGGCAAGAAUACGGGAGUGGGUUGCCAUGCCCUCCUCCAGGGGAAUCUUCCUGCUAGAGAGAUGGGACCCAGGUCUCCUGCAUUGCAAGCAGAUUCUUUACUGACUGAGCCACCGGAGAAGCCCAUUUCUAUAUUUAUCGUAUAUUAAAUUCUCCAUCCAUACAUGGUCUUCUCUGAGUUCACUCUUUGGUUCCAUUGGCCUAUUUGCCCAUCUGUCGUUAUAUCAAUACCUGCUUACUGUAUUAGUAUAUGUUAGGACGGGCAGUCGACCAUGGUCAGUGAGCAGCCCUGAGCACUACUCACGAGUGUGCCAAACUCUGCAUGUUUGGCAAGCUAAGUCACGUCUGUCGUGUCCGACUCUUUGCGACCCUAUGGACUGUAGUCCGCCAGGCUCCUUUGCCCAGGGGAUUCUCCAGGCAAGAAUACUGGAGUGGGUGGCCAUGUCCUCCUCCAGGGGCUCUUCCCGACCAAGUCAUCAAGCCGUGUCUCGUGUCUGCUGCAUUGGCAGGUGGAUUCUUUGCCACUCGCAGCAGCUGGGAAGCCCUGUGUCAGCCUGUGUGGCUUAUUAAUUCCCAAACUGAGCACUCUCUAUAGCUGGUCACAUGGGCAACCAAGGGGGCACCCAAGGAGGUACCUGCCCGUAGCAUGCUGCUCCACACUCUCCAGUGCGGGAGAUGGGGAAGAGAGAGAGAGGCUGUCUUGUUUCCAUUGUGACAGAAGGUGCCAUAACCACUUGGGUGGGGCUGUUUGGACCACUGUAAUGCAUCAUUUUUAUUGCUCCUACUGGUAAAUGUAUAAUCAGUACUGAUGGUUUGCAUGCUUGUGCCAUGAACUGUCAUGAAAUUCAAGGGGGAGUCGUCCCAAAGGAAAGGCUCACUUUUAGAGAAAUGAUUGUUGACACAGCAGACCACCAAUGAGGCUUCCAGUUGUCCAGUGUUGUACUGAUACAAGAGAAAUGAUACAGAAUUCCAGGAAGUGAAAAGGAAACCACAGUCUUGGGGUCUGUAAACCCCUAGGACCCUUUGGAACUACAAGUAUCUGCUGUUGAUAAUGUGCUGACUGGAACUAAUAUUGUGACUUCACAGAGCUUACUCAAUGAAUAUUUAGACAAUAACCUUUAUGUAGACAUCAGGGUGCUUAAGAAGACCAUGCUGGGGUCCAUUUCUGGGUUCUGUAGAGGAAAGAAUACUGAAUUAGAAGUCUGAAGACCUGCCUUCUGGAAUUCUCUGCUACUUGUUUCACCUCGUGGAGACUCUGUUUCUCCUGAGAAUACAGGUGAUAUCUUCUUGUUUUCCUUCUUUGUUUUGUUGAGGCCUGAGGAGCUAUUGUAAGGAACAGGGUCGUGGUUCCUGGUGAGUUGUUUUGCAAAUCUAAAACCAAUUCUGUUUACUUCUCACUUGAGUCCUGUCUGCAACCAUUUUCUCCUGCCUUCAACUUUUCCCCAUGGUCUCCAUCAAUCUAAGAGAUUAAUUUCUACUCCGAAGAAGGUGAUCUUUCAAGUUAUUUCCUUAAAACUCCCUAAGAUCCUUGAACUGACAAGAAGUAUUUUAUCAAAAUGCUGAGUUAUCACAUUGAUGUCCAAAUUUAUGCCUAAUUCCUGGGAAGGGGGUCUCAGGUCCUCAAAGCAAGCCUUGACUCAUUACCCUGGCAGCAGUCCAAGUACCUAACAGAUGCAUACCUGUAUGUGCAUGAUGUUCAUUUAAAAUUAUGGGAGAAAUGGAGAUGGACAAGACCAGCCAUAUGGCGAAUGACUCAUGCUGCACCAACAGCAAAACUGCAAGUCAUCAUCUCCUCUGUGCUGCGAGCUUGCUGCAAGGUCAUGUCUGCACAACGCAUCCUCUAUUGCCCAGGUCUCCCUAACCACCUUUCUGCUCCACCCACAUGCUCUUGCCUCACUCUCAGAGCCUCCUGGCCCCUGGACCUCAUCUCUCCAGCUCUGUCUGUCCACUCAUCCCUGGAGGAAAGCUGCUUUUCUUGCACACCCCUGCUCAUUUUUUCACCUGGGCCACGCCCACCCACUAACUCUGCUGGAAAUGUGGCUCCCUUCCCCACACACUGGGAAGGACCCAUCAGGAGGGGAUGGUCCAGCCUGGAGAGGCAGAAUUGGGCUCUGCAAGCACAACAAGGCUUAUACUGGUCACGGCUUUGACUCUGCCCUGGGUUUUAGCAGUGGCUCGAUCUACUUCUGGUGGCUCAGUGGUAAAGAAUCUGCCUGCCAAGCAGGAGAUGCAGGUUCAGUCCCUGGGUUGGGAAGAUCCCUUGGAGGAGGAAAUGGCAACCCACUCCAGUAUUCUUGCCUGGAGAAUCCCAUGGACAGAGGAUCCUGGCGGGCUAUAGCUCAUAGGUGCGCAAAAGAAUAGGACACAACUUGGCAACUAAACAGUAACAACUCUCUAUCUCCAAUCGGCCAACAUUGGUUUAAACAGUCUAGAACUAGACUAUUCUGUUCCAAGUCUGCUGCCAAGAGGAAUGCAUUCAUAGGUUAACGUGCUGAUUUUUAUAAAACGCACAACUUGAGAUGCGAGUAAAGUUUUAUUUGGGGUAAAAAGAGGACUGCAGACCAGGAGACAGUUUUUCAAAGAGCUCUGAGAAACUGCUGUGAGAAAGCAGUGGGAGGGGCCAGGAUACAUAGAAGUUUUGCAACAAAGGGCAGGUUUGCAACAUCUGUUGCUUUUUCUAUGAUCCAAUGGAUGUUGGCAAUUUGAUCUCUGGUUCCCCUGCCUUUUCUUUUCUAAAUCCAUCUUGAGCACCUGAAAGUUCUCAGUUCACAUACUGUUGAAGCCUAGCCUGGAGAAUUUUGAGUAUUACUUUGAUAGUGUGUGAGAUGAGUGCAAUUGUGCGG
ensembl:lncRNA